UCUGCCUUUUAAAGGCAAAGGUGGCUGUAG
rnacentral:piRNA from 1 species